GAAUCUUCGGCAAUGGGCGAAAGCCUGACCGAGCCAUGCCGCGUGAGGGAUGAAGGCCUUCGGGUUGUAAAGCUCUUUCAAUCGUGAAGAUAAUGACGGUAGCGAUAGAAGAAGCUCCGGCUAACUCCGUGCCAGCAGCCGCGGUAAUACGGAGGGAGCUAGCGUUGUUCGGAAUCACUGGGCGUAAAGCGCACGUAGGUGGAUUAGUAAGUCAGGGGUGAAAGCCCAGAGCUCAACUCUGGAAUUGCCCUUGAUACUGCUAGUCUAGAGUUUGGGAGAGGUAAGCGGAAUUCCGAGUGUAGAGGUGAAAUUCGUAGAUAUUCGGAGGAACACCAGAGGCGAAGGCGGCUUACUGGCCCAAUACUGACACUGAGGUGCGAAAGCGUGGGGAGCAAACAGGA
rnacentral:rRNA from 1 species